ACUGUGCCAGUGCAGACUGGAAAGUUACCAACUCAUCAAUCAAAGCAAAGAUUGAAGGCUUGUUCUCGAACGGAAGCGCCUAUAAUGGAUCUAACGUUCAUGUCAGUGAUGGACGUGAAAAUGUGUCGUUUACUGGACUUUACCCUGGUGCCACCUAUAACAUCUCUCUUGUCUAUGAAAAGUCUUCCAGAGUUUUCCUGCAGUGUGAACACAAAUUAACAAUUCUUCCUCCUAAUCUAAAUGCUCACUGUGAGUACUGGGCAGCUGCAUACUCUGUUCUUAUUAAAUGGACAGUUCCAGAGGGCGAGUGGACCAAUGCGGAGGUGAAUGUGGCUGGAAAGACUCACACAGUAGCUAGUCCUGAAACUGAGAUCAUAAUCGAUGGAUUCCAACCUGCCAAAAAAUAUAAGGUGUCUGUAACUUCACUGUCUGGGGUGAGGAGUUCUGAACCGCAUGUGUUUUACUGCCAAACUGAUCCAAGGGGUGAGUAAAAGUAACUACAUUACCAUGUUACUGCUUGUAAUCAUAACAACAUACAGUAUUUUCAAC
ensembl:lncRNA